GACGAACGCUGGCGGCGUGCCUAAUACAUGCAAGUCGAGCGAACCAAUAAGAAGCUUGCUUUUUGUUGGUUAGCGGCGGACGGGUGAGUAACACGUGGGUAACCUGCCUGUAAGACCGGGAUAACUCCGGGAAACCGGUGCUAAUACCGGAUAGAUUAUCUUUCCACCUGGAGAGAUAAGGAAAGAUGGCUUUUGCCAUCACUUACAGAUGGGCCCGCGGCGCAUUAGCUAGUUGGUGAGGAACGGCUCACCAAGGCGACGAUGCGUAGCCGACCUGAGAGGGUGAUCGGCCANACUGGGACUGAGACACGGCCCAGACUCCUACGGGAGCAGCAGUAGGAAUCUUCCGCAAUGGACCGAAAGUCUGACGGANCAACGCCGCGUGAGUGAAGAAGGUCUUU
rnacentral:rRNA from 1 species